rnacentral:rRNA from 1 species
GAUGAACGCUGGCGGCGUGCCUAAUACAUGCAAGUCGAGCGAACAGACGAGGAGCUUGCUCCUCUGACAUUAGCGGCGGACGGGUGAGUAACACGUGGAUAACCUACCUAUAAGACUGGGAUAACUUCGGGAAACCGGAGCUAAUACCGGAUAAUAUAUUGAACCGCAUGGUUCAAUAGUGAAAGACGGUUUUGCUGUCACUUAUAGAUGGAUCCGCGCCGCAUUAGCUAGUUGGUAAGGUAACGGCUUACCAAGGCAACGAUGCGUAGCCGACCUGAGAGAGUGAUCGGCCACACUGGAACUGAGACACGGUCCAGACUCCUACGGGAGGCAGCAGUAGGGAAUCGGCCGCAAUGGGCGAAAGCCUGACGGAGCAACGCCGCGUGAGUGAUGAAGGUCUUCGGAUCGUAAAACUCUGUUAUUAGGGAAGAACAAAUGUGUAAGUAACUAUGCACGUCUUGACGGUACCUAAUCAGAAAGCCACGGCUAACUACGUG